rnacentral:rRNA from 1 species
GAUGAACGCUGACAGCAUGCUUAACACAUGCAAGUCAACUGUGGCGGACGGGUGAGUAACGCGUAAAGAACUUGCCUCACAGAUAGGGACAACCUUUGGAAACGAAUGCUAAUACCGGAUACUGUGAGAGAGCUUUGCGGCCCAGUAGCUAGUUGGAGAGGUAACGGAUCACCAAGGCGAUGAUGGGUAGCCGGCCUGAGAGGGAGAUCGGCCCCAAGUGGACUGAGACACGAGCAUUAGGCAUACUGGAGGCAGGAGUGGGGAACAUUGGACAAUGGACCGAAGUCUGAUGAAGCAAUUCUGUGUGCAAGAUGCAGUUUUCGGAAUGUAAAGUGCUGUCAGUUGGGAAGCAGUACCAACAGAAGAAGUGACGGCUAACUACGUGCCAGCAGCCGCGGUAAUAC